AAGAAGAGCAAGAAGAGGACGACUGACCGGCUGUGUGGCGAGAGGAAGCUGAAAUUCAUCGUUUUUUGGCGUGUAUAGGCCUGUGCAAGCCUUACCAAGACCCAUAUAAAGGACGCGUUGAGGAGCCGCCACUACCACCUGUGCGGAGUGUGAACACCCUCACCUGCCGUCCUCUCCACUCAAUAUUGGAGCAUCGGACAGAGGUCAUGAUACCUGGAAGAGGCUCCGUAGAGGAGUAAGACCUUACUUACACUGUAGAGUGAGCUGCUGCUCCCUCACUAUGGAGAGGGGUAGACCUUACACCGAGCAAGCUAUGGUAAGUAAUUAUACAAAUUAUUACUGUAGUAGUAAUAAUAGACCACUAUGGGAUCCACGAUACCUCAAAGAGGCUCCGGAGAGUAAGAACAACCAAAGCUGUGUAAUUUUUUU